UUUUUUUUUUUUUUUUUUUUUUUUUUUUCCCC
rnacentral:ribozyme from 1 species